UGGUGGCGCCAUCAGUGUGGGCUGUGCCGUGGCUGGAAGUUACUGUGAGGCGGCGGCUUAGAAGGCGGCUGUGGUGGCGGCGGUGGAGGCUGAGGCGGCGGCCGAGGCGGCGACGGAGGAAACAGAAGAUGGCAGAUUUUUUGAAAGGACUGCCUGUCUACAACAAAAGCAAUUUUAGUCGAUUUCACGCGGACUCCGUGUGCAAAGCCUCGAACCGACGGCCCUCAGUCUACCUGCCCACCCGAGAGUACCCAUCUGAACAGAUCAUCGUGACAGAAAAGACAAACAUCCUUCUGCGCUACCUGCAUCAGCAAUGGGACAAAAAGAACGCUGCCAAGAAGAGAGACCAGGAGCAAGUGGAGCUGGAAGGCGAGAGCUCCGCACCUCCCCGCAAGGUGGCGCGAACCGACAGCCCAGACAUGCACGAGGACACUUAAGACUCUCAACCCCACAGGCGCCUCCUGCCAGGUCUGCUCCUCGGUCGCCCACCCGCCUGCCCGCCAUGUUGCGCGCUCCGUGUCCACCCCAAUAAAAGGGUCUUUCCUACUCGACCUCGCGUCUUUGCUCCACACACCUUGGCUGCAGAGGACGGAACCCCUGGGAGUCAUCCCUGUUGUCACCAAGAGGAGUGAGAAGGGCCCCCCACGCCAGGGGCUCCGGGACCGGCUGGAUUCUCUCGUGGGCUUGCUGAGGCCACCAUGUUCAAGGCCAAGACCUGCCUGGACCAUCCCCUCUGCCUCUCCUGUCAAGGUGACCCCAAGGACAGGUCAUUCCUGAGAGACGGUCCAUGGUGCCAAGGAUGGAGCAGGGUCAGCCCCCUGCCUGGGAUACUGCCGAGCAGGGCAGUGCACCUGUCAGCCACCGCAGAGACGGCCAGCCUCACCUGGGGGCCUGGGGUCUCCGGCCUCUGCCACUCCCGUGAGGCAUGGUGACAGCACAGAUGGCAUCUGGCCGGUCUUGCUGUCCCAGGUAGUGGCCUCACCCUUGCUGGGUCAUAGAGGAGCUGUACAGAAAGUCGGCACCUGGCAAUUGGCAUGUGCCAUGGCCGCUCAUGGGGACCCCUCCUCUGCCAGCUGGGCUGGGUUUGGGGCUGAACUUGGGUAUGUAGGGGGUGUUCAGGCUCUUGGCAGAAGGUUUGUGACCCUGACCAUUAAGCCUGAGGCUGGGGGAACACCGCUUCUUCCCUCAUCACCCCCACUGGCGGCGGGUGGGGGGGGUCUUAGUUUUCUUUUGUUUUGUUUUGUUUGUUUUUUUGAGUUGGGGUCUCGCACUGUUGCCCAGGCUGGAGUGCAGUGGUGUAAUCACAGCUCACUGCAGCCUCAACCUCAAGCAUUCCUCCCACCUCAGCCUUCCAAGUAGCUGGGACCACAGGCACACACCACCAUGCCUGGCUAAUUUUUUUUUUUUUAAGGUGGAGUCUCGCUGUGUCUCCCAGGCUAGAGUGCAGUGGCGAGAUCUCAGCUCACUACAACCUCCGCCUCCCAGGUUCAAGCGAUUCUCCUACCUCAGCCUCCCGAGUAGCUGGGAUUACACACGUGCACCACUACACCCAGCUAAAUUUUCUAUUUUUAGUAGAGAUGGCGUUUCACCAUGUUGGCCAGGCUGGUCUUGAACUCCUGACCUCAGGUGCUUCGCCUGCCUCGGCCUCCCAAAGUGCUGGGACUGUGCCCCACUGCCUGGCUAAUUUUUAAAAAAUUUUUCAUAGAGACAAGGUUUCGCCAUGUUGCCCAGGCUGGUCUCAAACUCCUGGGCUCAAGUCAUCUGCCUUCCUCAGCCUCCCAAAGUGCUGAGGUUACAGACGUGAGCCACCGUGCCUGGCAGAGGUCUUGGUUUUGAAAGCUGAGUCUGAGGGCGUUGAGAUGGCGUGGGGUUGGGCCACAGAGCUAGCAGAGACUCUGGGCUAUGGAGGGUCCGCCUGCCCCAGAU